GACAAACGCUGGCGGCGUGCCUAACACAUGCAAGUCGAACGGUCCGGUACUCAAUGCAAAUUGAGUGCCGGGUAGUGGCGGACGGGUGAGUAACGCGUGGGUAACCUACCCAUAAAGCCGGGACAACCCUUGGAAACGAGGGCUAAUACCGGAUAAUCUUAAGUCUUGGCAUCAAGGCAUAAGGAAAGGUGGCCUCUGAGAAUGCUGCCGAUUAUGGAUGGACCCGCGUCUGAUUAGCUAGUUGGUGGGGUAAAGGCCUACCAAGGCGACGAUCAGUAGCCGGCCUGAGAGGGUGAACGGCCACACUGGGACUGAGACACGGCCCAGACUCCUACGGGAGGCUG
rnacentral:rRNA from 1 species